rnacentral:misc_RNA from 1 species
AACGCACGAGACCUGCGGACCUGCGGAAGGAUCAUUAUCGUGUGUAACCUACCCCGUAAAAAAGGGUGGUACCUCCCGUCCUUUGCAGGCCUCUUUUUAUGGGGGGCUUUUUUUAAGACUUUCUGCUUCGGCGGGGUUACUCCCGCCGGAACACCCUCAAAAAACUCUUGAUCAAAAACCGUUCAGUCCGAGAAACUUUUUGAAAAUAAAAAAAACUUUUAGCAAUGGAUCUCUAGAUCG